GAUGAACGCUGGCGGCGUGCCUAAUACAUGCAAGUCGAGCGAACAGACGAGGAGCUUGCUCCUCUGACGUUAGCGGCGGACGGGUGAGUAACACGUGGAUAACCUACCUAUAAGACUGGGAUAACUUCGGGAAACCGGAGCUAAUACCGGAUAAUAUGUUGAAUCGCAUGGUUCAACAGUGAAAUACGGUCUUGCUGUCACUUAUAGAUGGAUCCGCGCCGCAUUAGCUAGUUGGUAAGGUAACGGCUUACCAAGGCAACGAUGCGUAGCCGACCUGAGAGGGUGAUCGGCCACACUGGAACUGAGACGCGGUCCAGACUCCUACGGGAGGCAGCAGUAGGGAAUCUUCCGCAAUGGGCGAAAGCCUGACGGAGCAACGCCGCGUGAGUGAAGAAGGUCUUCGGAUCGUAAAACUCUGUUAUGAGGGAAGAACAAAUGUGUAAGUAACUAUGCACGUCUUGACGGUACCUAAUCAGAAAGCCACGGCUAACUACGUG
rnacentral:rRNA from 1 species